rnacentral:rRNA from 1 species
UACGAAGGGGGCUAGCGUUGUUCGGAAUUACUGGGCGUAAAGCGCACGUAGGCGGGUUGUUAAGUCAGGGGUGAAAUCCUGGAGCUCAACUCCAGAACUGCCUUUGAUACUGGCAACCUAGAGACUGGAAGAGGUUAGUGGAAUUCCCAGUGUAGAGGUGAAAUUCGUAGAUAUUGGGAGGAACACCAGUGGCGAAGGCGGCUAACUGGUCCAGCACUGACGCUGAGGUGCGAAAGCGUGGGGAGCAAACAGG